rnacentral:rRNA from 1 species
GACGAACGCUGGCGGCGUGCCUAAUACAUGCGAGUCGAACGCUUCUUUCCUCCCGAGUGCUUGCACUCAAUUGGAAAGAGGAGUGGCGGACGGGUGAGUAACACGUGGGUAACCUACCCAUCAGAGGGGGAUAACACUUGGAAACAGGUGCUAAUACCGCAUAACAGUUUAUGCCGCAUGGCAUAAGAGUGAAAGGCGCUUUCGGGUGUCGCUGAUGGAUGGACCCGCGGUGCAUUAGCUAGUUGGUGAGGUAACGGCUCACCAAGGCCACGAGGCAUAGCCGACCUGGGAGGGUGAUCGGCCACACUGGGACUGAGACACGGCCCAGACUCCUACGGGAGGCAGCCGUAGGGAAUCUUCGGCAAUGGACGAAAGUCUGACCGAGCAACGCCGCGUGAGUGAAGAAGGUUUUCGGAUCGUAAAACUCUGUUGUUAGAGAAGAACAAGGACGUUAGUAACUGAACGUCCCCUGACGGUAUCUAACCAGAAAGCCACGGCUAACUACGUG